rfam:Oryza sativa Japonica Group DNA, chromosome 7, cultivar: Nipponbare, complete sequence.
UUUAAGUGCAACCAUAAGUUUUCGCGUCCAACUUUAAUCGUCCAUCUUAUUUGAAAUUUUUUUUAUAAUUAAUAUUUUUGUUAUUAUGAGAUGAUAAAAUAUGAUUUGUAUUUUACUCGUGACUUAUAUUUUUAAUUUUGUUCAAAAUAUUUUAAAUAAGACGGACGGUUAAAGUUGGGCGCGAAAAACCAUGGCUGCACUUGAA